rnacentral:rRNA from 1 species
GACGGAGGGGGCAAGCGUUGUUCGGAUUUAUUGGGCGUAAAGGGCUCGUAGGCGGACUGGUAAGUCUGGCGUGAAAUCUCCACCACUCAACGGGGAGGGGCCGUCGGAACUGUCAGUCUGGAGUACGGUAGAGGACCAUGGAAUUCCAGGUGUAGCGGUGGAAUGCGUAGAGAUCUGGAAGAACACCGGUGGCGAAGGCGGUGGAUCUCGGGCCGUUAGUGACGCGUGACGGUAGCGGAAAGCCAGGGGAGCGGAACGGGAUU